GACGAACGCUGGCGGCGUGCCUAAUACAUGCAAGUCGAACGCAUUUUCUUUCACCGUAGCUUGCUACACCGAAAGAAAAUGAGUGGCGAACGGGUGAGUAACACGUUGGUAACCUGCCCAUCAGCGGGGGAUAACACUUGGAAACAGGUGCUAAUACCGCAUAAUUCCAUUUACCGCAUGGUAGAUGGGUGAAAGGCGCUUUUGCGUCACUGAUGGAUGGACCCGCGGUGCAUUAGCUAGUUGGUGGGGUAACGGCCUACCAAGGCUGCGAUGCAUAGCCGACCUGAGAAGGUGAUCGGCCACACUGGGACUGAGACACGGCCCAGACUCCUACGGGAGGCAGCAGUAGGGAAUCUUCGGCAAUGGACGCAAGUCUGACCGAGCAACGCCGCGUGAGUGAAGAAGGUUUUCGGAUCGUAAAACUCUGUUGUUAGAGAAGAACAAGGAUGAGAGUGGAAAGUUCAUCCCUUGACGGUAUCUAACCAGAAAGCCACGGCUAACUACGUG
rnacentral:rRNA from 1 species